CUGAACUUUUCUCAAGGUUGACCUCGGAUCAGGUAGGGAUACCCGCUGAACUUAAGCAUAUCAAAA
rnacentral:rRNA from 1 species